rnacentral:rRNA from 1 species
GGAGUUAGCCGGUGCUUCUUCUGUGAGUGAUGUCCUUCCUGCCGGCUAUUAACCCGCAGGCCUUCUUCCUCACUGAAAGUGCUUUACAACCCGAAGGCCUUCUUCACACACGCGGCAUGGCUGGAUCAGGGUUGCCCCCAUUGUCCAAUAUUCCCCACUGCUGCCUCCCGUAGGAGUCUGGGCCGUGUCUCAGUCCCAGUGUGGCUGAUCAUCCUCUCAGACCAGCUACGGAUCGUCGCCUUGGUGAGCCGUUACCUCACCAACCAGCUAAUCCGACAUAGGCUCAUCCGAUAGCGCGAGGCCCGAAGGUCCCCCGCUUUCCCCCGUAGGGCGUAUGCGGUAUUAGCCUGGGUUUCCCCAGGUUAUCCCCCACUACCGGGCAGAUUCCUAUGCAUUACUCACCCGUCCGCCGCUCGCCACCAGGGAGCAAGCUCCCCGUGCUGCCGCUCGACUUGCAUGUGUUAGGCCUGCCGCCAGCGUUCAAUCUGAGCAGAGACAACUACUCGA